rnacentral:rRNA from 1 species
GACGAACGCUGGCGGCGUGCCUAACACAUGCAAGUCGAACGGAGAAUUGCGCUGAACUUGAUAUUAGCUUGCUAAAGGAUAGUUCUUGUAAUUCUUAGUGGCGGACGGGUGAGUAACGCGUGAGCAACCUGCCUUACAGAGGGGGACAACAUUGGGAAACCGAUGCUAAUACCGCAUAACGUAUUUUUAAGGCAUCUUAGAAAUACCAAAGGAGCAAUCCGCUGUAAGAUGGGCUCGCGUCCGAUUAGAUAGUUGGCGGGUAACGGCCCACCAAGUCGACGAUCGGUAGCCGGACUGAGAGGUUGAACGGCCACAUUGGGACUGAGACACGGCCCAGACUCCUACGGGAGGCAGCAGUGGGGGAUAUUGCACAAUGGGGGAAACCCUGAUGCAGCAACGCCGCGUGAGGGAAGAAGGUUUUUCGGAUUGGUAAACCUCUGUUUUUAGUGAAGUAACAAAUGACGGUAGCUAAAGAGGAAAGCCACGGCUAAC